AUGACUACUAUAACCAACAACAGCAACCCCAACAGCAACAGUACGCCACUGGAACCGCUGCACCUCCUGAUGCUAGCAGCUACAAUUACAGCCAGUCUGCUACUCAUGCUUCACAAGGAACUAUGGGGCAUCUGUGGCUAUGGGGCAUCAGCUGCUAACUCAACUCAGGAUGGUGGUACUGCACCGAGCUAUGGUGGUCCAGGUGGCGCUGGUCAAGCAUCUUCAGGGCAGCAAGCUUCAACUCCAGCCACUGGAGGCCAACCGAGUUAUCCUAAUCAACCACCUAUACUGCUGCUGCUGCAUCAGGCAGACCCGAUCUGGCUCACAAUACCAUUUCUCUUUUUCUGA
rnacentral:rRNA from 1 species